rnacentral:rRNA from 1 species
AUUGAACGCUGGCGGCAGGCUUAACACAUGCAAGUCGAGCGGGGUGAUGGUGCUUGCACUAUCACUUAGCGGCGGACGGGUGAGUAAUGCUUAGGAAUCUGCCUAUUAGUGGGGGACAACAUCUCGAAAGGGAUGCUAAUACCGCAUACGUCCUACGGGAGAAAGCAGGGGAUCACUUGUGACCUUGCACUAAUAGAUGAGCCUAAGUCGGAUUAGCUAGUUGGUGGGGUAAAGGCCUACCAAGGCGACGAUCUGUAGCGGGUCUGAGAGGAUGAUCCGCCACACUGGGACUGAGACACGGCCCAGACUCCUACGGGAGGCAGCAGUGGGGAAUAUUGGACAAUGGGGGGAACCCUGAUCCAGCCAUGCCGCGUGUGUGAAGAAGGCCUUAUGGUUGUAAAGCACUUUAAGCGAGGAGGGGGCUCUUUUGGUUAAUACCCAAGAUGAGUGGACGUUACUCGCAGAAUAAGCACCGGCUAACUCUGUGCCAGCAGCCGCCGUAA